AUUCUUCAGUAUGAUAUGUGGAAUGUUACUCCCACAGACCUAUGGGACUGGAAACUUCUCAAGGAGAAGAUUGCACAGUAUGGUAUAAGAAACAGUUUACUUAUUGCCCCAAUGCCCACUGCCUCAACUGCUCAGAUCCUUGGGAAUAAUGAAUCCAUUGAACCGUAUACCAGUAACAUCUAUACUCGCAGAGUCUUGUCAGGAGAAUUUCAGAUUGUAAAUCCCACUUACUGAAAGAUCUACUUGAGCGUGGCUUGUGG